rnacentral:rRNA from 1 species
GACGAACGCUGGCGGCGUGCUUAACACAUGCAAGUGGAGCGACGAACCAGGGCUUGCCCUGGGGCAGAGCCGCGAACGGGUGAGUAACACGUGGGUAACGUACCCCGAUGACUGGGACAACCCGGGGAAACCCGGGCUAAUACCGGAUGUGCACCCUCACAUCAGUGAGGUGUGUAAAGGAAGCUUCGGCCUCCGCGUUGGGAUCGGCCCGCGGCGCAUUAGCUUGUUGGUGAGGUAACGGCUCACCAAGGCCGCGAUGCGUAGCUGGUCUGAGAGGACGAUCAGCCACACUGGGACUGAGACACGGCCCAGACUCCUACGGGAGGCAGCAGUGGGGAAUCUUGCGCAAUGGGCGAAAGCCUGACGCAGCGACGCCGCGUGAGGGAUGACGGCCU